CCACAUUAAUAAUUCUUGGCCAUAUUUUCUAUAUAGGCUCGGGUUUGCCCCUUGAUGGUUUCCCUUGAGUUUGAAGAACAUUCCUUUGGCCAAUUAGAAGAUAUACAAUUUCCUCGUUUAUUGCGCCCCCUGAGGGCGUAAUUUUCCGAAUUUUUUAUCGAACGCCGUUAAGGUUAGCACCAACAUGUGUGUAAAAUUUGGACUCGUUCCGAUGUCUAAUUUUGGAUUUCUUUGGAUUAUUGAUUUUCCACGUCUAAUUUAGCUCAUAAACCAAUAUUCAAAAUGCUACCGUUUCGUCGUCAAAGGUCGCAUCAAAAAAGUGUUCCGUGCAUUCUUUGCGUGUGCGUCUGAAGAUGUCGUGUGCAAAGUUUGGUGUCAAUUGGUCAAGAAAUGUGGGAGGAGUAGGGAAAAAACAGUUUUGCGGUCUUUGCGAUUUUGCGA
ensembl:lncRNA